rnacentral:rRNA from 1 species
ACACCUGUUCCCAUGCCGAACACAGAAGUUAAGCUUCUUCACGCCGAGAGUAGUUGGUGGGAAACUGCCUGCGAGGGUAGGAAGCUGCCACGC